AUCGGAAUGACCAAUGAGGAACCAGGAGAGGCUAACAACAAAUUUCUUCGAAAAAUCCGUCUUUAUCAUGCUCGAAAAUCAUCCUGGCUCAAUGGCAUGUCUGACCUUUUCUUGAGACUGAUGGACAUCAGUGAUCCAAAGAUACAGGCUUAUGUCCACUGCAAGAAAAAGAAGCACAACUCAGAGAUCUUGCCUGAACCCAUCAAGAAACUCUUGAAGAUGCCGGAACUUCAAACUUCUAGAGAUGCCUCUGAUUCAGAAGAAGAAUAAAGAAGUCAAACAAAGCAACCAAAGCCUCUCAUAAAAAUUAAAAAAAUUCUCAUACAUUCCCAA